AUCCUUUUGUAGGUCAUAAGCGUGAUGAUUGGUUCUUCAUACUUUUCUAUGAGACGUGCCUCCCACAAAACCUUAUGACUUUGGCACAUUACCCAUCUGACA